GCUGGGCACGGUGGCACACGCCUGUAAUCCCAGUGGCUCGGGAGCUGAAGCAGGAGGAUCACUGAGUUCAAGGCCAGCCUCAGCAAAAAGGAAGGCACUAAGCAACUCAGUGAGACCCUGUCUCUA
rnacentral:sRNA from 1 species